rnacentral:rRNA from 1 species
ACGAACGCUGGCGGCGUGCCUAAUACAUGCAAGUCGAGCGGAACUUAGAAAGCUUGCUUUCUAAGUUUAGCGGCGGACGGGUGAGUAACACGUGGGCAACCUGCCUAUAAGACUGGGAUAACUUCGGGAAACCGGAGCUAAUACUGGAUAAUAUAAAAGAUCACAUGGUCUUUAUUGAAAGAUGGCUUCGGCUAUCACUUAUAGAUGGGCCCGCGGCGCAUUAGCUAGUUGGUGAGGUAAUGGCUCACCAAGGCGACGAUGCGUAGCCGACCUGAGAGGGUGAUCGGCCACACUGGGACUGAGACACGGCCCAGACUCCUACGGGAGGCAGCAGUAGGGAAUCUUCCGCAAUGGACGAAAGUCUGACGGAGCAACGCCGCGUGAGCGAUGAAGGCCUUCGGGUCGUAAAGCUCUGUUGUUAGGGAAGAACAAGUAUCGUUCGAAUAGGGCGGUACCUUGACGGUACCUAACCAGAAAGCCACGGCUAACUACGUG